GUGGGGAAUAUUGGGCAAUGGAGGAAACUCUGACCCAGCAACGCCGCGUGAAUGAUGAAGGUCUUCGGAUUGUAAAGUUCUUUUCUUGGGGAAGAAGAAAGUGACGGUACCCAAGGAAUAAGCCUCGGCUAACUACGUGCCAGCAGCCGCGGUAAUACGUAGGAGGCAAGCGUUAUCCGGAAUGACUGGGCGUAAAGGGUGCGUAGGUGGUUUGACAAGUUGGUAGCGUAACUCCGAGGCUCAACCUCGGCACUACUACCAAAACUGUUGAACUUGAGUGCAGGAGGGGCAACUGGAAUUCCUAGUGUAGCGGUGGAAUGCGUAGAUAUUAGGAGGAACACCAGUGGCGAAGGCGAGUUGCUGGACUGUAACUGACACUGAGGCACGAAAGCGUGGGGAGCAAACAGG
rnacentral:rRNA from 1 species